rnacentral:rRNA from 1 species
GGAUGAACGCUAGCGGGAGGCCUAAUACAUGCAAGUCGAACGGUAACAGGGUAGCAAUACCGCUGACGAGUGGCGCACGGGUGAGUAACACGUACACAACCUGCCUUAUACUGGGGCAUAGCCUUGGGAAACUAAGAUUAAUUCCCCAUAACAUUGCGAGAUGGCAUCAUUUUGCAAUUAAAAUUACGGUGGUAUAAGAUGGGUGUGCGUCUGAUUAGCUAGUUGGCGGGGUAACGGCCCACCAAGGCAACGAUCAGUAGCUGGUCUGAGAGGAUGAUCAGCCACACGGGCACUGAGACACGGGCCCGACUCCUACGGGAGGCAGCAGUAGGGAAUAUUGGACAAUGGGCGCAAGCCUGAUCCAGCCAUCCCGCGUGAAGGAUUAAGGCCCUAUGGGUUGUAAACUUCUUUUCUUUGGGAAUAAAAACCGACAUUUAUGUUGGCUUGAAGGUACCAGAGGAAUAAGCACCGGCUAACUCCGUGCCAGCAGCCGCGGUAAUACGGAGGGUGCAAGCGUUAUCCGGAUUCACUGGGUUUAAAGGGUGCGUAGGUGGCUUUGUAAGUCAGUGGUGAAAGCCCGGAGCUCAACUCCGGAACUGCCAUUGAUACUGCUUAGCUUGAAUCAGGUAGAGGUGGAUGGAAUAAUACAUGUAGCGGUGAAAUGCUUAGAUAUGUAUUAGAACACCGAUUGCGAAGGCAGUUCACUAUGCCUGCAUUGACACUGAGGCACGAAAGCGUGGGGAUCAAACAGGAUUAGAUACCCUGGUAGUCCACGCCCUAAACGAUGUAAACUCGACAUUAGCGAUAUACAGUUAGUGUCCAAGCGAAAGCGUUAAGUUUACCACCUGGGAAGUACGACCGCAAGGUUGA